GCCGCCCCCUCGCAGCCCCCUGCCAGAACGGUGGCACGGCGGUGGGGGGCUCCUGCGCCUGCCCCCCCGGUUUCAACGGCACCCGCUGCGAGACCCCCGAGCCCACCAAGGCCUGCCGCAACGGGGGCACCCCGGUGGGCACCAAGUGCUUCUGCCCCCCCGGCUUCGGGGGCCCCCUCUGCGACCUCCCUGACCCCUCGGGCGCCUGCCACAAUGGGGGCACGGCCUUCGGGACCGCCUGCGUCUGCCCCCCCGGUUUUGGGGGGGCCACGUGCCAGCUCACCGAGCCCCCCGCCUCUUGCCUCAACGGGGGGACCCUGGAGGGGGGCGCUUGCCGGUGCCCCUCGGGAACCUGGGGACCCCGCUGCGAGUGUUUUGGUGCCGCCACCACCGCCACCACCACCACGGAUGAGAAGAUGACGGGGGUGGGGGGGGUAUCACGGGGAAGGGAGACCCCAGUCACAGCCCCCCCUGGAGGAAACACUACGCUCACAACCCCCCCAGCGAGCGACGGCACGGCGAUGACACGCCGGGAAAGCGACGGCGCGACCACGACGCCAAGAGGUGGGGAAGUCAAUGCGACACUCGGGACCCCCCCAGGAAGCAACAUGACGCCCACGGCCCCCCUGGGAAGCAACGUCACAGUUCUGGCCCCCCCAGAAAACAACAUGACGCUCACGUCCGCCCCAGAAAGUGAAACCACGGUGCCAACAACCUUGGAAAGCAACGCAGCGACGCAUGGGGAAGUCAACGCAACGCUCGUGACCCCCCCAGCAAGGAAUACAACGCCCCCGCCCCCCCCCGAAAGCAACACAACGCUCCUGGCCCCCCCUGAAAGCAACACGACAUUCCUGGCCCCCUCUGAAAGCGAAACCACGGAGCCAACAACCUUGGAAAGCAACACAACAAUGCGUGGGGAAGUCAACGCAACGCUUGUGACCCCCCCAGCAAGGAAUACAACGCUCCUGGCCCCCCCUGAAAGCAACAUAACACUCACAGUCCCCCCAGAAAGUGAAACCACGGAGCCAACAACCUUGGAAAACAAUACAACAAUGCAUGGGGAAGUCAACGCAACACUUGUGACCCCCCCAGCAAGGAAUACAACGCUUCUGCCCCCCCCCGAAAGUAAUAUGACAGUCGUGACCCCCCCAGAAAGCAACACGACAUUCACGGCCCCCCCCGAAAGUGAAACCACGGCACCAACGCCCUUGGAAAGCAACGCAACGACCACGCCGCCAACACAUGGGGAAGUCAACGCAACACUUGUGACCCCCCCAGGGAGAAACACAACACUCCUGGCCCCCCUGGAAAGCAAUGCCACAGUUCUGGCCCCCCUAGAAAGCAACACGACGUUCCUGGCCCCCCCCGAAAGCGAAACCACGGAGCCAACACCCUUGGAAAGCAACGCAACAAUGCCUUGGGAAGUCAACACAACGCUCGUGACCCCCCCCAAAAGCAACGUCACCCCCCCGACCGCCCCCACCAACAUGGCGGCCACCACGGGGACACCCCCGUCCCCUCCCAGCACCACCAGUGUCACCACUGUCACCAACAGCACUGUCUCGGCCAUGAUCUGCCUCUUCCUGCCGCACGGGUCCAGCCCUCCGGCCAUCACCUGCCUCAACGGCGGCGUCGCCAACCGCACCGAGUGCCUCUGCCCGCCUGGCUUCUCCGGCCUCACCUGCGAGAGGCCGGAUGCCGCCGCCCGCUGCGCCGCCGGCAGCACCGCUGUGGGCGACCGCUGCGUCUGCCCCCCGGGGCUGUCGGGACGCCGCUGCAACGUCCGCGACGAGGCCACCGCCUGCCAGCACGGGGGCACAGCCGUGGGCACCGAGUGCUAUUGCCCCCCGGGCUUCGAAGGUCCCCGGUGCGAGAGACAAGGUGCCACCACCACGACCGUGACCAUGACCACCACCAGCACCGCCACGCCCGCUCGCCCUACCACCAAGGCCACGCCGAGGAGCACCAGGAGAACCACCACCACCGCCAUCCCUACCACCGCAGACCCCUGCCUGAAUGGGGGGUACUGGACUGGGACCAUUUGCCUGUGUCCCCCCAACGUGGACGGAGCCCGCUGCCAGUUUGGGGCCUCGACCAUCAACAUCACAGCGGAGCUGGGUCCCAGCGUGGCGCUGAUGGCGCGCGUCACCAACCGCCGCUUCUCCGGGGACAUGGAGGACACCUCAUCCGCCGCCUUCCGCAGCUUCGCGGACGAGUUCAGCCGCACCGUGAGUACCCCAGCAUCGUGAUGGUGUCGCGACAGCGGCCCCAUGUCACAACGGGUGACACAUGUCUUCUUGUCCCCAGAUGGAUCGGGUCUACCAGAACGUCUCUGGCUACCACGGCACCCGGGUGCUGGCUCUGAUGUGAGUUUGUGGCCAACGGCGAGGAGGGGAUGGGAUGGGAUAGGGAGGAAGAUGGGGAUGAAGGGCAUGGGGAUGAAGAAGAAGAUAGGUACGGGGGUGAAGAAGGACAUGGGGAUGGAGAUGAGGUUGGGGACAGGGAUGAAGAUGGCGAUGAAGGGCAUGGGGAUGAAGAAGGGCAGCAUGGGGAUCAGGAAGGGCCUGGGGAUGAAGAUGAGGUUGAGGAGGAAGAUGAGGCUGAGGAGGAAUAUGGGGAUAAAGAAGGACAUGGGGAUGAAGAUGAGGUUGGGGAUGAAGAAGGGCCUGGGGAUGAUGAAGGGCGUGAAGUAGGGCAUGACGAUGGGGAUGAAGAAGGGGAUGAAGAGCACGGGGAUGGGAACAGGUGAGGAGCCCGCCGUGUCCCUCACCCCCCACCCUUUGUGCCCCCCAGGGAAGGCAGCGUGGUGGUGAACUACAAAGUCCUGCUGCAGCCUCCAGCCGGGGGCCAAGCCAACGCCAGCCUCGGCCAGAGGACUCGGGAGCUGCUGGAGGCUUCGAACGCGGCCAUCCAGCCCCAAAACUGCAGUGAAGGAGCGGGUGGGUGCUGGGGGGCGUAGGAUUGGGCCUCCUCACCCCAUUUCUUGCACCAAGGGGGCUCCGGUGACCCCCCCAAUCUCUUACAGAAGGGCUCUGCUUCGGUGCGCUCGCCACCCGGAGGGCCUUCGCCGCCGCGCCGAAGCUCAACGCCACCGGUGAGUGUGGGCAGUGGGGUGGUGGCGGGGAGUGGGACGGGGACGGGGUCUGAUCGGCAUCGCUGUCCCCUGCAGAGCUCUGCCGGAAGUACACGCCAGCCAACUUCAGCCACUUCUACUACCCCUACUGGAUGAAUAACAGCCUCCUCUGCAUCACCAACUGCACCCUCAACGUCCCCGGCACCAUCAACUGUGGCCCCGGGCUGUGCCGGGUGACGUUGGAUGGGCCCCGCUGCUUGUGAGCGCCGCCCGCCCGACCUUGCCCCCAAAUCCUGGCCUUUAGCCCCAGAUUUUGCCCCACGUGUCCGUCCCAACCUGCCCAAUGCUGGCUGAUAGCCAGGUUCUGGUCCUGAACCCAACCCUGUCCUAACCCAAAUCUGGUUCUGAUCACAGCGUUGGGACCCAACCCUCACCCCCACCCCAAGUCCUAUCCCUGCUGUGAACCCCAACCCCAAUCCUUGAACCCAAAUUCCAGAGUUUGAACCCCAAACCCCAAGCCUUGCCCUCCGAAAUCCAACUAUUAAUCUUCAGAUCCCAACUUUUUACCCCCAAAAUCCAAUCCUUGUCCCCCAAAGCCUAACCCUUGCUCUACAAAUCCCAACUUCUGUCCCCCAAACCCAAUCCUUGACCUCCAAACCCAACCCUUGACCUCCAAAUCCCAACUUUUGACCCCAAACCCCAUUACUUGUCCUCCAAAACCCCAAUCCUUGACCCCCCAAACCCCAACCCUUGACCCCAACCCAUGGACAUGGGGCUGGCUCUCCCACCUUCUCCCCGCCUCUGGGAGGGAUCCUGGGAACCUGAAGGAUCCUGACCCCCAAUGAAUACCCGGGGCCGGAUCUGGGGGUCCAGGACCCUGCCCAUGCUGUGUCUUCUCCUGCAGCUGCCCCGAUGUGCCCUGGUACCUCUCCUCCGGCGACCGCUGCCAGACCCACAUCAGCAAACUGGGGCUGGGGCUGGGCGUGGGGCUGGGGCUGGGGCUGACCCUCCUCAUCCUGCUCGUCCUCUGCAUCGUCCUCUCCAUCUGCUUGGCCCAGGGGAAGAGAAAAACGCCCAGCAUCAGGUGAAGGGAGCAGGGCAGGCAGCCGGGGGAGGUCCAGAGAGGAGGUCCAACACCCUCAGAAGCGCCCCUUUGCCUCAACUUGGAGGGGCAGCAGCUUUUCCCCGUGGGGUGGGUGGGUUCAGCCCCAUCCCACCCCAUGCAUGAGCCUCACGGGAGGCCUUGCUCCACAGCGAGGACCAUAGGUGGCCAGACGGCAAGCGCAACGCUCGUGCCACCGGCAUCUACCACGUCAACGGCAGAGGCUCGACGCUACGUCAAGGUGAGACCUGGUGGGGGCAAACCCAGACCCUUCAUGGGGAGAAGACCCUCACCAGAAAAUUCCUCACCAGAAUCUUCUCCCCUUCCAGGUCCCUACGCUCACAGCUCCUACAAGACCAACGCAGAGGUUGCAGACCCUCCUGUGCUGGUGGGUGCACAAGAUGGUGGCUGUGGUAGAGCCAUGGGGUGGGAUGAGUUGGGGUGGGAUGAGUUGGGGUGGGAUGUAAGGAAGCCUUCAAGCUCACCCAGUCCAAGCCAUCCAGGGAUGUCUCACAUGAUGCUGGGUUCCUCAAAGCCCCGAAGCCAAACCUGAUCUUGAAGACUCGCAACGGGGCCUCCAUGACUUCUCCAGGCCACCCCGGAUCUGGCCUCAAUGCUCCUUCCCUCUUCACAGGGGGAAGCAGAAGGUGCGGCGUCCCUGUGAGCUGCGAAGUGGCCCCCAAAACCAGCUUGAGGAGGGGCCAAGACCACCUCGAUGUCCUUCAUCACCCACCACACAGGACCCUUGGCUUGGGUGGCAGAGACCGCCGACCUCACCGUGUGGGAAAACCUCCUCCUCUCAGCAUUUCUCAUUUUUGGGGCAAAAGCAGUCGGGAUCCGGUUCUUCUGUGAGAGAAGAGGGGUCUCCCAUGGCCUUGGGGACCCCUUGCUGGAGAGGACACAAUAGCACCCAGGUCCCAUCCUUCCUUGCAAAGCUUCGCCUGGGCCGGAGCAGGAUGAGCCUCGUCCCCGUGGAAAUAUAUUUAAUUAUAUUUAUUAACGUAUUUUUGUUGUCUUCUGAAAAAUAAUGUGGGCAGCUGGGGUUGGGAGAGCACAGCCAAUGGCGUGCUUGGGCUGGGGGCUUGGGUCAUGGUUGGGAGGGGCUGGAAUUGAGACCGGGAGACCCAACCAUGGCUGGAAUUGAUCUCAGAAGACCCAACCAGGGUUGGAAUCGAUUUGGAAAGACCCAACUGUGGCUGAAAAUGAUCUCAGUAGACCAAACCAUGGUCGGAAUCGAUCUGGAAAGACCCAGCCUUGGCUGGAAACAGUCUCAGAAGACCCAAACAUGGUUGGAAUCGAUCUGGAAAGACCCAGACAAGGCUGGAAUAGAUCUCAGAGAACUCCGACACAGCUGGAAGCUGCCCAGGACAGCACGGACGUGACUGCUAAUGGGCUUGGCGGGUCCGGGGCGCGUUUGUUUGCUCAUUGAUGAAGAGGAAACGCCCCUGUUUGCAGAUCCCAGCUCGGAGGAGGGGGCGGACGCCCGGCUUUGUGUGUGCCCAUCCCAAAAGGCAAUAAAUAUUCUGCUGGUGCCA
rnacentral:lncRNA from 1 species